GUCAGUGUGGUGUAGUGGUUUGAAUGUUGGACUGGGACUCCUGGAGAUCAGGGUUUGAAUCCCUACUCAGCCA